UACGAAAGGGGCAAGCGUUGUUCGGAUUUACUGGGCGUAAAGGGCACGCAGGCGGUCUUGCCAGUCAGGGGUGAAAGCCCCGGGGCUCAACCCCCGGAACUGCCUCUGAUACUGCAGGACUAGAGACUAGGAGAGGGUGGUGGAAUUCCCAGUGUAGAGGUGAAAUUCGUAGAUAUUGGGAGGAACACCAGAGGCGAAGGCGGCCACCUGGACUAGAUCUGACGCUCAGGUGCGAAAGCGUGGGGAGCAAACAGGAUUAGAUACCCCGGUAGU
rnacentral:rRNA from 1 species